AGAUUGAACGCUGGCGGCAGGCCUAACACAUGCAAGUCGAGCGGCAGCACGGGUACUUGUACCUGGUGGCGAGCGGCGGACGGGUGAGUAAUGCCUAGGAAUCUGCCUGAUAGUGGGGGAUAACGCUCGGAAACGGACGCUAAUACCGCAUACGUCCUACGGGAGAAAGCAGGGGACCUUCGGGCCUUGCGCUAUCAGAUGAGCCUAGGUCGGAUUAGCUAGUUGGUGGGUAAUGGCUCACCAAGGCGACGAUCCGUAACUGGUCUGAGAGGAUGAUCAGUCACACUGGAACUGAGACACGGUCCAGACUCCUACGGGAGGCAGCAGUGGGAAUAUUGGACAAGUGGGACGAAAGCCUAGAUCCAGCCAUGCCGCGUGUGUAGAAGAAGGUCGUUUCGGAUUUAGAAAGCUAGUUUAAGGUGGAGGAAGGACAGUUACCUAGUA
rnacentral:rRNA from 1 species